GACGAACGCUGGCGGCGCGCCUAACACAUGCAAGUCGAACGAGCGAGAGGAGGUUUUCUUUCUCAAGCGAGUGGCGAACGGGUGAGUAACGCGUGAGGAACCCGCCUCAAAGAGGGGGACAACAGUUGGAAACGACUGCUAAUACCGCAUAAGCUCACGACCCGGCAUCGGGUAGAGGGAAAAGGAGCAAUCCGCUUUGAGAUGGCCUCGCGUCCGAUUCGCUGGUUGGUGAGGUAAUGGCCCACCAAGGCGACGAUCGGUAGCCGGACUGAGAGGUUGAACGGCCACAUUGGGACUGAGACACAGCCCAGACUCCUACGGGAGGCAGCAGUGGGGAAUAUAGCACAGUGGGGGGAACGCUGAUGCAGCGACGCCGCGUGGAGGAAGAAGGUCUUCGGAAUGUAAUCUCCUGUUGUUGAGGAAGAUAAUGACGGUACUCAACAAGGAAGUGACGGCUAACUACGUG
rnacentral:rRNA from 1 species